UACGUAGGGUGCAGGCGUUAAUCGGAAUUACUGGGCGUAAAGCGUGCGCAGGCGGUUUGCUAAGACAGGUGUGAAAUCCCCGGGCUUAACCUGGGAACUGCGCUUGUUACUGGCAAGCUUGAGUGUGGCAGAGGGGGGUGGAAUUCCACGUGUAGCAGUGAGAUGCGUAGAGAUGUGGAGGAACACCGAUGGCGAAGGCAGCCCCCUGGGCUAACACUGACGCUCAUGCACGAAAGCGUGGGGAGCAAACAGG
rnacentral:rRNA from 1 species